rnacentral:rRNA from 1 species
GACGAACGCUGGCGGCGUGCUUAACACAUGCAAGUCGAACGGAAAGGCCCUGCUUGCAGGGCGCUCGAGUGGCGAACGGGUGAGUAACACGUGGGUGAUCUGCCCCUUAUUUUGGGAUAAGCCUGGGAAACUGGGCCUAAUACUGGAUAGGACCAUGCUGUAGGUGGUGUGGUGGAAAGAUUAGUUUCGGUAAGGGAUGAGCUCGCGGCCUAUCAGCUUGUUGGUGGGGUAAUGGCCUACCAAGGCGUCGACGGGUAGCCGGCCUGAGAGGGUGGACGGCCACAUUGGGACUGAGAUACGGCCCAGACUCCUACGGGAGGCAGCAGUGGGGAAUAUUGCACAAUGGGCGCAAGCCUGAUGCAGCGACGCCGCGUGGGGGAUGACGGCCUUCGGGUUGUAAACUCCUUUCAGCCAUGACGAAGCCCUUGUGGUGACGGUAGUGGUAGAAGAAGCACCGGCUAACUACGUG